rnacentral:misc_RNA from 1 species
UUCAAAGGCCUUGCGAUUUUUGGACAACGAUAAGCAGGUUUUCCAUUAGGGUUUUGGAAAGGCUGUGAAGAUGAGUGACAAUUUGAUGGAUAAAGUAAGCGCAUUUGGUGAGCGCCUCAAGAUUGGAGGUGCUGAGGUGGGCCGAAAGAUGAGUGCUGGGAUGAGCUCAAUGAGCUUCAAAAUGAAGGAGCUGUUCCAGGGUCCAAACCAGGCUGAUAAACUUGUUGAGGAAGCCACAGCAGAGACCCUUGAAGAGCCUGAUUGGGCCUUGAAUCUUGAACUCUGUGACAUGAUUAAUCAUGAAAAGGUUAGCAGUGUUGAAUUAAUCCGUGGUAUAAAGAAGCGGAUCAUGAUGAAGAAUGCUAGGGUUCAGUACUUGGCCUUGGUGUUACUAGAAACAUGUGUUAAGAAUUGCGAGAAAGCUUUCUCGGAGGUUGCAGCUGAGAGGGUCCUUGAUGAAAUGGUGAAGCUGAUUGAUGAUCCUCAGACAGUUGUUAAUAAUCGUAAUAAGGCUUUGAUGCUGAUUGAAGCAUGGGGGGAAUCAACUGGUGAGCUGCGCUAUUUACCUGUUUAUGAAGAGACAUACAAGAGUCUAAGAUCGAGGGGAAUCCGAUUCCCUGGUCGUGACAAUGAGAGUUUGGCACCCAUCUUUACCCCUCCUCGUUCAGUUUCAGCACCUGAAGUGGAUGCUAGUCUUGCACAGCAGAUUCAGCAUGAUAUUCCUGUGGUAACCUUUACGGCUGAACAAACAAAGGAAGCAUUUG